ACGGGGAACCUCAGGAAGGGAGGGUUUGGGCCUGAAGGGCCAAAGGAGGUGGCAGUUCAUAAGGACUCAGUUGAACCCCAGGAAGAGGAGUGUUACUUUAAGUACUCUUGCCUGCAAGUAUGUCGCUGCAGGUAGGGUGUGUGCAGGGCCAGACUGUGCCAUGCCCUGGGAUGGGACCCUGCCACAUUGAUGCUGCAGGGCAGGAUUGGGAAAGGGAGCUUCAGAAAAGAGAUUGUUAUUGUAUUGUGGUAGCGUCUAGGAGCCCCAGUCAUAGACCAGGACCCCAGUGUGCUAGGCACUGGACAAACAGAACAAAAAGAUGGGCCACAUCCUAGGGAGCCUACAAUCUAAGUAUAAGACAAAUUACGUAGCUAAGACACCUCUUUUUAUUCCUGGUUGGAUGCCCAAGUAGGCCCUAAAGAUCCAAUUGCAAUUUUCAAAAAGAUAUGGUUUAUGCCUAGUGCCAUGGCCAACAGCCUUCUCUCCCCAUCUCAGGGAACCAGGUUGUAAUGUCCAAAAUUAUGUUUGAGCCCCUGCUGUUAAGCUCGCCAAUGUAGUUGUUUCACUACCACUAUAUAUUGUUUUGUAAAAUAGUCUAAUAUAUUGAGUAUGGAAGAUGCUUUAUACAUAUACAUUGUUCUCCACUCCAGUACUGACCUACCAAGAAAAAAAAAAGCCUGGGAAUCAAUUAGAAGCAAGAUGGUUUUGGCAGCAUCUGUGGUCUAUAGGUAGUACUUUGGCAGUGCAGGAGACCUCACUUCCAUUUCUGGUCCCGAUUUCACAUCCUGUGAAGUAAUGUCUAUCUCUCUUAAGCCCUAUGUACUCUUCUAGAGAAUUGUUACAAAAACUUCCCACCCAUUUACCUAGCUUUCUGAUUAUGGUAGCUGUUUUCAGCACUAGGUGGAAGGGACUGUCUUUAAAUGCUUUGGGCAGCACUACCAACUUUAAUGGUGUGACAUACAAAUGUUACAAAAUAAUACUACCUUAGAGUUUGGAAAUGCUCUUGAGGGCAAGAGGCUUUCCCUUCUGGAGGGCAGGAGUACUCAUGUUGCUCACCAUUGACCCCUCCAGCUGAUUAAGGAGUGGCACAAUCUAGAUUCUAUCUAGAAGAUGGACUAGAAAGCAUCAACAGUUUCUGAAGGGAGUUGCAUCCAUUUUUCCGCACCAAAGAGGACAGUAGCCAUUGCAUAGAGUUGUGAGGAUGGGAAGUGAAUGGAGAUGGAAAAAAUGGAGAGAUACUCAGGAUUGUGACAGACAUGAGGAUAAAAAAGGCGGACUUUCUUCCUGUAUUUUUCUUGAAGUGCUAUUGAAAAGUAACUGUUUUGAGGAUGGAAUAGGACAGCCAUAUUAAACCAACAACAUUACAUAAUUGAUUUUAGGAGGGGGAAAUGAAGAACAAUCCCUCGUUUCAGCCUACGGGGUGAAUUUUAGGCAGCUGCAAUGAACAGGUCAAAAAAUAUCAGAACAGAUUAUUUGGGUAUGGUCUGUGCUACAAAGGGUGAACGCUUUAUAAAAGAUGCAAUUGCAUGAAAAACUGUGAGUGCAUACAGGAAGCUGCUGUUCCAGCAGUGCAUUGCUUUGACUCCUGCUUGGAUGCCACAAAACAUUCUUGAGAAAUGGAGGAAAACAAAGGGCAGAGUGCUGGAGCCACCAGAACCCAACUCACCGCAGUAGGUGACCUGAGGAGAAGCUGGCAGAGCUGGGCAGAAGAUCACAUUGAUUAUCAGAGACAGAAUCCAUUCAGCAAUGAUAGCAAGCCCAUGACUAGGUCUGUGCAUCCCCAAAGAGGAGAUCCCAUCUAUGGGAGACCGCCUGAAGGGUCUAAAACAGAGCAAAGAGGAAAAGAUGCCCACACACAUGUGGGAAAGGAAGUGGAAGAGCUAUGCUUGAUCAUGAGAAAUAUUGGGGAGAAAGGAGAUGAUGGAAAUGUAAGAGUGACAUUCCGACAGCUGUUUGAAACAUAUGUGACUAUUUCCAAUAAAGUAGUGGGAAUCCUGCUGAGAGCAAGAAAAUAUGGGCUGGUUCAGUUUGAAGGUGAAAUGCUUUGGCAAGGAAAAGACGACAAUGUCAUCAUCACCUUACUUGAAUAAUACUGAAGAAUGUUUCCAUUUAGGAAAAUAAACCAUCUAAAUGUCAGCUUGAUAAAGGUUUAUACAGCACAGGGGUGGAAUGGAAAACCAAUGAAAAAUAUUUUGAUAGGAUCCUGGAAGUUGGAGAUAGAAAUGAUGCAAUGGGUCAACUAAUCUAUCCCUGUGCCCUUUUCCUUCACAGCUUUGUCUUGUCUACUUCUAAAUGUCUCAAGUGAUGGCUUCUCUUACGGCUCUGCAUAAUUGAAGUUAAAAUUCUUUACUAACUUACUACCAGUCUGCACUGGGUCUUGUAGCACUGAGUUUAGAAAUAAGCACAGAGUAAAAUCUAUCACUGAAUGUGGUAUCUUGCUAAUGAACCACAGUAGAAUGCUUGGAGAUGAAUUAAUAAACUUUUUUCACUUAAAAAAACAAACAAACUGUACCUAUGGUACAACUUUAAUUAUUUUCACAUAUUGAAAUUGUAAUAAUACAUGCAAACUAGCCAUAACUUCACACAGUACUUGAAAAAUUCAAAACCUACCAACUUAAUGAAAUACUCCUUACUUAAAUGUUCUGCAAUUCCAGCAAGAGCAUUUGGUGAUUUCAUAAGUUGUGUUCCACUUUAUGUAUUUUUGGAAGCCAAAUUUUUUUGAUGUGGUAGAAAAAUCUCUUUGCUUUCUUUCCCACUACCUUUUUAAGUGUCUCUGCUUUUUUUUUUUUUUUUUUUUUUUUGAUCUUGGUCUCAUGCUUACUUCUGUCCCAAGAAGUUUACAGGGCAGUCUCUGCUAUGCCCUUUGCAGGAAAUCUGGAAGUGCCCUUGUAAAGGGAUUCUAUCUAGGCCACCUCAGAAGGAAGGCUGCCACAUAACACAGGGCCUUUGAGGGCAGAAAAUGUAAACUAGGCUAAUGCUCAUGGCACUGAAUAAAGAGGAUGAUUCCCUUGAAACAAAAUACAGCAAUGUUGUGCAACUUUUAGAAGGAAGAGCCCGGAGGGAGAGGAGAUGACAGACCGUAGAGUGCCAAAUAGACAUCUAAUCAUGCAACACAUAAUCAUAUACCUCAUUUGGCAGAUGCAGAAAGACAGAGUGGUUUAAACUCUAUGCAUUUUCAGAAUUCUUCAAAAAGGGGAGAAAGAAUGGUCUUGUGGUUGAAAAA